rnacentral:rRNA from 1 species
GGACUACACGGGUUUCUAAUCCUGUUUGCUCCCCACGCUUUCGUGCCUGAGCGUCAGUGUUAGCCCAGGGGGCUGCCUUCGCCAUCGGUGUUCCUCCACAUCUCUACGCAUUUCACUGCUACACGUGGAAUUCCACCCCCCUCUGCCACACUCGAGCCCGUUAGUUUCCAAUGCAGUUCCCAGGUUGAGCCCGGGGCUUUCACAUCGGACUUCGCGGACCGCCUGCGCACGCUUUACGCCCAGUAAUUCCGAUUAACGCUCGCACCCUACGUAUUACCGCGGCUGCUGGCAC